rnacentral:rRNA from 1 species
ACUCCUACGGGAGGCAGCAGUAGGGAAUAUUGGACAAUGGGCGCAAGCCUGAUCCAGCCAUCCCGCGUGAAGGAUUAAGGCCCUCUGGGUUGUAAACUUCUUUUCUCUGGGAAUAAAAACCGGUAUUUAUACUGGCUUGAAGGUACCAGAGGAAUAAGCACCGGCUAACUCCGUGCCAGCAGCCGCGGUAAUACGGAGGGUGCAAGCGUUAUCCGGAUUCACUGGGUUUAAAGGGUGCGUAGGUGGCUUUGUAAGUCAGUGGUGAAAUCUUAGAGCUUAACUCUAAAACUGCCAUUGAUACUGCUUAGCUUGAAUCAAGUCGAGGUGGAUGGAAUAUUACAUGUAGCGGUGAAAUGCUUAGAUAUGUAAUAGAACACCGAUUGCGAAGGCAGUUCACUAGGCUUGUAUUGACACUGAGGCACGAAAGCGUGGGGAUCAAACAGGAUUAGAUACCCUGGUAGUCCACGCCCUAAACGAUGUAAACUCGACAUUAGCGAUAUACAGUUAGUGUCCAAGCGAAAGCGUUAAGUUUACCACCUGGGAAGUACGACCGCAAGGUUGAAACUCAAAGGAAUUGACGG